ACUUUAAAAAAUAUCUAAAGCGCUUAUACAGUAGACUCUCAUUAAACGGAGCCUGAAGGGACCAGGAAAAUGUGUUGCGUUUAACAGGAGUUCCGUUUACUGAGACGAACAGGGGUGCGGAAUUCAGGUACGAAAUCAAUAAUAUCAGAGACAGUUCCAUUUAAGCAGCAGU
rnacentral:lncRNA from 1 species